GCCUUUAAUACAGAGAUUUUUGUUAUAAAAUUUGAAACAUAAAUUACUCACAUGAUUUUCUAUGAUGUACUAGUGUUUAUUUUUUACAAAAAGUUCUAAGCAACCUGUAAAUUCCAAAACACCUUGAACUGAGUCACUAAAGUUGAGCGCACCCUAAAAGGUGUACUUGAUUUGGUCCAUAUUAAUAUUUGUUUUAACCAAUAACUACAUUAAUAAACUUGUUUUAUGGAAAUCAAUGCUAGCACUGCAUGCAAUACCUAAUCCUAUAUCUAUCAGUCAUCAAAUUGCCAAAUAUGAGAGUACAAGGAUAAAGGCUGUGGAUUUUCUAUAUAAUUUCCAUAUGUUAAUCAUUGAAUCAACACAAGGGUACAUAAUCCUUAAGUGAAUUAAGAGCAGUUUGGUAAGUUUUUUUUUCAUGCAGCAGGAAAGAAACACAGAAAUUAUAGAGUGGAAGCCAAGUAUGAUGAAGUUUAUGUUUACAGCCAUCAC
rnacentral:lncRNA from 1 species